rnacentral:misc_RNA from 1 species
GAUGAAGAACGUAGUGAAAUGCGAUAAGUAGUGUGAAUUGCAGAAUUCAGUGAAUCAUCGAAUCUUUGAACGCACAUUGCGCCCUUUGGUAUUCCUUAGGGCAUGCCUGUUCGAGCGUCAUUUAAACCUUCAAGCUCAGCUUGGUGUUGGGUGACUGUCCGCUUCACCGCGGACUCGCCUCAAAAUUAUUGGCGGCCGGUACAUUGGCUUCGAGCGCAGCAGAAACGCGAACUCGGGCCCGUCGUAUUGGCUCCCAGAAGCUAUCUUCACAAUUUUGACCUCGGAUCAGGUAGGGAUACCCGCUGAACUUAAGCAUAUCAAUAAGCGGAGGA